AUACUUACCUGGCAAGGGAGACACCGUGAUCAAGAAGGCGGUUCACCCAGGGCGAGGCUCAGCCAUUGCACUCCGGCUGUGCUGACCCCUGUGAAUUUCCCGAAUGUAGAAAUCUCGAUUGCAUAAUUUCUGGUAGUGGGGGACUGCGUUCGCGCUCUCCCCUG
rnacentral:snRNA from 1 species